rnacentral:ribozyme from 13 species
UUUUUUUUUUUUUUUUUUUUUUUUUUUUUUUUUUUAAAAACACACACAAGAUUUAUU